AUACGUAGGGGGCGAGCGUUGUCCGGAAUGAUUGGGCGUAAAGGGCGCGUAGGCGGCCCGGUAAGUCUGGAGUGAAAGUCCUGUUUUUAAGAUGGGAAUUGCUUUGGAUACUGUCGGGCUUGAGUGCAGGAGAGGUAAGUGGAAUUCCCAGUGUAGCGGUGGAAUGCGUAGAGAUUGGGAGGAACACCAGUGGCGAAGGCGACUUACUGGACUGUAACUGACGCUGAGGCGCGAAAGUGUGGGGAGCAAACAGGAUUAGAUACCCUGGUAGUCCACACUGUAAACGAUGAAUGCUAGGUGUAGGGGGUAUCGACCCCUUCUGUGCCGCAGUCAACACAAUAAGCAUUCCGCCUGGGGAGUACGGCCGCAAGGUUGAAACUCAAAUGAAUUGGCGGGG
rnacentral:rRNA from 1 species